GAUGAACGCUGGCGGCGUGCCUAAUACAUGCAAGUCGAGCGAACAGACGAGGAUCUUGCUCCUCUGACGUUAGCGGCGGACGGGUGAGUAACACGUGGAUAACCUACCUAUAAGACUGGGAUAACUUCGGGAAACCGGAGCUAAUACCGGAUAAUAUAUUGAACCUCAUGGUUCAAUAGUGAAAGCCGUUUUUGCUGUCACUUAUAGAUGGAUCCGCGCCGCAUUAGCUAGUUGGUAAGGUAACGGCUUACCAAGGCAACGAUGCGUAGCCGACCUGAGAGGGUGAUCGGCCACACUGGAACUGAGACACGGUCCAGACUCCUACGGGAGGCAGCAGUAGGGAAUCUUCCGCAAUGGGCGAAAGCCUGACGGAGCAACGCCGCGUGAGUGAUGAAGGUCUUCGGAUCGUAAAACUCUGUUAUUAGGGAAGAACAAAUGUGUAAGUAACUAUGCACGUCUUGACGGUACCUAAUCAGAAAGCCACGGCUAACUACGUG
rnacentral:rRNA from 1 species